AUGCCAGUCUGUCUCGCCCCUGGCGAUGCAGUGCCCGGCUCCAGCAGCGUCAGACUGUGGCUUGACCAAUUCGAAAUACACGGAACUUAUGAGAAGUACAAGGACCAGGGUUUUGAGAUCUUUGCUUUCCCAUGCAACCUAUUUGGUGGGCCAGAACUUGGCAUUGAUAAGGAAAUUAUUCAGAUUGCUUGCACUCGUAUCAAUGCCGAAUAUAUGAUUUUUUUACAAGCUGAAAGAAAUGAUUGCUUUAGUGAACAAUGUACACUAUGA
rnacentral:rRNA from 1 species